rnacentral:rRNA from 1 species
UACAGAGGUCUCAAGCGUUGUUCGGAUUCAUUGGGCGUAAAGGGUGCGUAGGCGGCGCGGUAAGUCGGGUGUGAAAGCCCCGGGCUCAACCUGGGAACCGCGCUUGAGACUGGCAUGCUCGAGUUCGGGAGAGGAUGGUGGAAUUCCCAGUGUAGAGGUGAAAUUCGUAGAUAUUGGGAAGAACACCGAUGGCGAAGGCAGCCAUCUGGACCGACACUGACGCUGAGGCGCGAAAGCGUGGGGAGCAAACAGG